rnacentral:tRNA from 2 species
AUUUUCAUAGUUUAUAUUAAAACAUUACACUGAAAAUGUAAAGACAUUUUUUUGAAAAUA